AAAAACUCCGGUGGUAUGAGAUGGGCCCGCGUCUGAUUAGCUAGUUGGCGGGGUAACGGCCCACCAAGGCAACGAUCAGUAGCCGACCUGAGAGGGCGACCGGCCACAUUGGGACUGAGACACGGCCCAAACUCCUACGGGAGGCAGCAGUGGGGAAUAUUGCACAAUGGGGGAAACCCUGAUGCAGCGACGCCGCGUGAGCGAUGAAGUAUUUCGGUAUGUAAAGCUCUAUCAGCAGGGAAGAAGAUGACGGUACCUGACUAAGAAGCCCCGGCUAACUACGUGCCAGCAGCCGCGGUAAUACGUAGGGGGCAAGCGUUAUCCGGAUUUACUGGGUGUAAAGGGAGCGUAGACGGCGGUGCAAGCCAGAUGUGAAAGCCCGGGGCUCAACCCCGGGACUGCAUUUGGAACUGUAUGGCUGGAGUGUCGGAGAGGCGGGCGGAAUUCCUAGUGUAGCGGUGAAAUGCGUAGAUAUUAGGAGGAACACCAGUGGCGAAGGCGGCCUGCUGGACGAUGACUGACGUUGAGGCUCGAAAGCGUGGGGAGCAAACAGGAUUAGAUACCCUGGUAGUCCACGCCGUAAACGAUGACUACUAGGUGUCGGGCAGCAAAGCUGUUCG
rnacentral:rRNA from 1 species